rnacentral:tRNA from 1 species
GCAUAGCUCAGUCGGUAGAGCGCAGCCUUGGUAAGGCUGAGGUCGCGGGUUCAAUUCCCACUGUA